rnacentral:rRNA from 1 species
AUACGGAGGGUGCAAGCGUUACUCGGAAUCACUGGGCGUAAAGCGCGCGCAGGCGGUCUUUUAAGUUGGAUGUGAAAGCCUACGGCUCAACCGUAGAACUGCAUCCAAAACUAUUAGACUAGAGUGUGGGAGAGGAAGAUGGAAUUAGUUGUGUAGGGGUAAAAUCCGUAGAGAUAACUAGGAAUACCUAAAGCGAAGGCGAUCUCCUGGAACAUUACUGACGCUAAGGUGUGAAAGCGUGGGGAGCAAACAGGAUUAGAAACCCCAGUAGUCC